rnacentral:rRNA from 1 species
GAUGAACGCUAGCGGCAGGCCUAAUACAUGCAAGUCGAACGGUGUCUUCGGACAUAGUGGCGCACGGGUGCGUAACACGUAUGCAACCUACCUUACAUUGGGGGAUAGCCUUUCGAAAGGGAGAUUAAUACCGCAUAAGACAGUAGCUGGGCAUCCAGCAGCUGUUAAAGAUUUAUCGAUGUAAGCUGGGCAUGCGUCCAGUUAGCUAGUUGGUGAGGAAACGGCUCACCAAGGCAAUGAUUGGUAGGGGAACUGAGAGGUCAAUCCCCCACACUGGCACUGAGGUACGGGCCAGACUCCGACGGGAGGCAGCAGUAGGGAAUAUUGGGCAAUGGACGCAAGUCUGACCCAGCCAUGCCGCGUGCAGGAUGAAGGCGUUAUGCGUUGUAAACUGCUUUUAUACAGGAAGAAACGACUCUUGCGAGAGGCAUUGACGGUACUGUAUGAAUAAGCACCGGCUAACUCCGUGCCAGCAGCCGCAGUAAUAC